rnacentral:ribozyme from 1 species
AUAUUGUAUUAUAUCAUUUUACUCAAUUUUUUUUUUUUUUUUAGUUUUCAUUUAU